rnacentral:tRNA from 1 species
GCAUUCGUAGCUUAACUGGAUAGAGCACUGGGUUCCGAACCCAGCGGUUGGAGGUUCAAGUCCUCUCGAGUGCA